GAUGAACGCUGGCGGCGUGCUUAACACAUGCAAGUCGAACGGUGAACACGGAGCUUGCUCUGUGGGAUCAGUGGCGAACGGGUGAGUAACACGUGAGCAACCUGCCCCUGACUCUGGGAUAAGCGCUGGAAACGGCGUCUAAUACUGGAUAUGUGACGUGACCGCAUGGUCUGCGUUUGGAAAGAUUUUUCGGUUGGGGAUGGGCUCGCGGCCUAUCAGCUUGUUGGUGAGGUAAUGGCUCACCAAGGCGUCGACGGGUAGCCGGCCUGAGAGGGUGACCGGCCACACUGGGACUCAGACACGGCCCAGACUCCUACGGGAGGCAGCAGUGGGGAAUAUUGCACAAUGGGCGCAAGCCUGAUGCAGCAACGCCGCGUGAGGGAUGACGGCCUUCGGGUUGUAAACCUCUUUUAGCAGGGAAGAAGCGAAAGUGACGGUACCUGCAGAAAAAGCGCCGGCUAACUACGUG
rnacentral:rRNA from 1 species